UGGGGAAUUUUGCGCAAUGGGCGAAAGCCUGACGCAGUAACGCCGCGUGGAGGAUGAAGGCCUUCGGGUCGUAAACUCCUGUCAGGGGGAAAGACAGGUAUUUGUCGAAUAAACAAAUACUUUGGACGGUACCCUCAAAGGAAGCCCCGGCUAAUUCCGUGCCAGCAGCCGCGGUAAUACGGAAGGGGCAAGCGUUGUUCGGAAUCAUUGGGCGUAAAGGGCGCGUAGGCGGUUUUGUUUGUCCGCUGUAAAAGUCCACGGCUCACCCGUGGAGAGUCGGUGGAAACGGCAAGACUUGAGGCUGGGAGGGGUUGGUGGAAUUCCCUGUGUAGCGGUGAAAUGCGUAGAUACGGGGGAGAACACUCGUGGCGAAGGCGGCCAGCUGGCCCAGUCCUGACGCUGAGGCGCGACAGCGUGGGGAGCAAACAG
rnacentral:rRNA from 1 species